CCGUAGGGGCUCCGGCCCCUGCCGAGAUUGCACCCCUUGUCUUUGGAGCACCGUACGUUUCCUCGGCAGGCUCGCCUGCCAACGGGGACACCAACCAAACCCUUUGCAGUAGUUGCAGUAAACGUCGAAAAACAAACAAAAUCA
rnacentral:misc_RNA from 1 species